AAUGAACGUUGGCGGCAUGGAUUAGGCAUGCAAGUCGGGGGAAUCCCAGCAAUGGGGGAACCGGCGUAAGGGGCAGUAAGGCAUGGGUACCUACCUUGGGGUUCGGGAUAGCCAUCAGAGAUGGUGGGUAAUACCGGAUGACGUCGUGAGACCAAAGAUUUAUCGCCCUUAGAGGGGCCCAUGUGAUAUUAGCUAGUUGGUGGGGUAACGGCCCACCAAGGCGAAGAUGUCUAGCGGGUGUGAGAGCACGACCCGCGCCACUCGCACUGAGACACUGGCGAGACACCUACGGGUGGCUGCAGUCGAGGAUCUUCGGCAAUGAGCGCAGGCUUGACCGAGCGACGCCGCGUGAGCGAUGAAGGCCUUCGGGUUGUAAAGCUCUUUAGUGGGGGAGAAAAGCCGCAAGGUGUGAUCUAUCCCAAAAAUAAGCACGGGCUAAGUUCGUGCCAGCCGCCGCGGUAA
rnacentral:rRNA from 1 species